GCCAUGCUCAGUUGGUAGAGCAUGAGACUCUUAAUCUCACGGUCAUGCGUUUGAGCCCCAUGAUGGGCA